rnacentral:rRNA from 1 species
GACGAACGCUGGCGGCGUGCCUAACACAUGCAAGUCGAGCGGAGAUUUCUUUGGCACUGAGUACUCUAGUAAAGACGCAAAGGAAGCGUCAUGAAGAAACAACAUAGAUGUUAAAAACACUGAUAAAAGUUUCUUCAUCACGCGUUUUUAAAGUGCCAACACAAAGAGGGAAGGAUAAGUAGAGUAUUGAGUGCCAAAGAAAUCUUAGCGGCGGACGGGUGAGUAACACGUGGGCAACCUGCCCCUGAGCCCGGGAUAACAGUUCGAAAGGACUGCUAAGACCGGAUAUACUUGCGGGGAAGCAUUUCACUGCAAGGAAAGGGAACGCUCAGGGAUGGGCCCGCGUCCCAUUAGCUAGUUGGUGAGGUAACGGCCCACCAAGGCGACGAUGGGUAGCCGGCCUGAGAGGGUGAACGGCCACACUGGGACUGAGACACGGCCCAGACUCCUACGGGAGGCAGCAGUUGGGAAUCUUCGGCAAUGGGCGCAAGCCUGACCGAGCAACGCCG